CCAUCAACUUAAAAAGUGGAAGUGAGUGCAAGGCUCUUAACCUUGUGGUCGUGGGUUCGAGCCCCACGGUGGG
rnacentral:tRNA from 1 species